GACGAACGCUGGCGGCGUGCUUAACACAUGCAAGUCGAACGGAAAGGCCCUGCUUUUGUGGGGUGCUCGAGUGGCGAACGGGUGAGUAACACGUGAGUAACCUGCCCUUGACUUUGGGAUAACUUCAGGAAACUGGGGCUAAUACCUGAUAGGAGCUCCUGCUGCAUGGUGGGGGUUGGAAAGUUUCGGCGGUUGGGGAUGUACUCGCGGCUUAUCAGCUUGUUGGUGGGGUAGUGGCUUACCAAGGCUUUGACGGGUAGCCGGACUGAGAGGGUGACCGGCCACAGAGGGACUGAGAUACGGCCCAGACUCCUACGGGAGGCAGCAGUGGGAAAUAGUGCACAAUGGGCGGAAGCCUGAUGCAGCAACGCCGCGUGCGGGAUGACGGCCUUCGGGGAGUAAACCGCUUUCGCCUGUGACGAAGCGUGAGUGACGGUAAUGGGUAAAGAAGCACCGGCUAACUACGU
rnacentral:rRNA from 1 species